rnacentral:rRNA from 1 species
ACCACUUUAAUUUGAUGGAAAUAAAGUAAACAUUAAAUAUAUUUAAAUAUGGAAUUUUAAUAGAUAAUAUUCCAGUUUAAAAUUUUAAUCUAUUUAUGAAAAUAAAAAUUAGAUAAUUUAUUAAUUUAGGUUAAUUAGGUGCCAGCAACCGCGGUCAUACCUGACAGAUUAGUUUACUAUCAUAGUAAAUUUUAAGGUUUAUUUCAAAAUACUAUAAUAAGUAGUGAAAUACUAUUAUACUUACUACAUUAACUAAAUAAAAAUUAAUUAAACCCGUGAUUAAAACUAGGAUUAGAGACCCUAUUAUUAUGGACUUUUAUAAAUAUUUACUAAGAAGUAAUACUUCAAUUUUAAACUUAAAUGUUAUGGCGGCUAAAUAAAACAAUCAGGGGAACUUACCAUGUAAUUGAUAACCACCAAGUUUAUUCUACUUACUAUAAUAAUUUGUAUACCGUUGUCUUAAUGAACUUCUUAAAGGAGGUUUAAAAAUAUAAGCCAUUAAAUGACAAAUCAAGGUGCAGUCUAUUAGUAAGAAUUAAGGUGAGUUACAAUAACUUUUUUUUUCAAAAUGAAAUAUGAAAUAAUUCAGGAAGAUGGACUUGAAAGUACUUUAUAAAUUUAUAUAUUUUAAGUGAAUUUAGUAUUUUAUUUAGUGUA